rnacentral:tRNA from 1 species
UGGGUUGUGGCUCAGUGGUAGAGCACUCACCUAGCAUGUGUGAGGCCCUGGGUUCAAUCCUCAGCACCACAU